GUCGAACGGAACUGUUUUGAAAGAUUUCUUCGGAAUGAAUUUGAUUUAGUUUAGUGGCGGACGGGUGAGUAACGCGUGAGUAACCUGCCUUCAAGAGGGGGAUAACAUUCUGAAAAGAAUGCUAAUACCGCAUGACAUAUCGGAAUCACAUGGUUUUGAUAUCAAAGAUUUUAUCGCUUGAAGAUGGACUCGCGUCCGAUUAGUUAGUUGGUGAGGUAACGGCUCACCAAGACCGCGAUCGGUAGCCGGACUGAGAGGUUGAACGGCCACAUUGGGACUGAGACACGGCCCAGACUCCUACGGGAGGCAGCAGUGGGGGAUAUUGCGCAAUGGGGGCAACCCUGACGCAGCAACGCCGCGUGAAGGAUGAAGGUUUUCGGAUUGUAAACUUCUUUUAUUAAGGACGAAACUUGACGGUACUUAAUGAAUAAGCUCCGGCUAACUACGUGCCAGCAGCCGCGGUAAUACGUAGGGAGCAAGCGUUGUCCGGAUUUACUGGGUGUAAAGGGUGCGUAGGCGGCUUUGCAAGUCAGAUGUGAAAUCUAUGGGCUCAACCCAUAAACUGCAUUUGAAACUGUAGAGCUUGAGUGAAGUAGAGGCAGGCGGAAUUCCCCGUGUAGCGGUGAAAUGCGUAGAGAUGGGGAGGAACACCAGUGGC
rnacentral:rRNA from 1 species